rnacentral:rRNA from 1 species
AUGACACGUUUUGGUUUUGAUCCGAUGUGGGUCGCAAUGAUAAUGAGAUGCGUCACCUCGGCGCAUUUUUCUGUAAAGUUAAAUGGUGGGCUAUCCAGGAGCUUUACACCUUCUCGGGGUUUAAGACAGGGGGAUCUGUUGUCACCAUAUUUGUUCCUCUUCUGUGUGGAGGGUUUUUCAGCGCUACUCAAGAAGGCUCAAACUGACAAACAGCUUUCCGGGGUGAAGUUUGGGAGCACUGGCCCCCAUAUAACUCACUUGUUGUUUGCAUAUGAUAGUAUAGUUUUCCUUGAGGGAACCAAGGAGAAUAUGGAAACACUAAAACAGAUCCUUGAAAAGUAUGAAAAAGCAUCCGGACAGAAGGUAAAUUUGCAGAAAUCCUCCAUCUUUUUUGGAAAAGGAAGCCAUGAUGUGAUGAAGGAUCAGAUUAAGCAGAUUGUGGGGAUUCAAUCUGAGGCUCUUAGUGAACGAUACUUGGGCCUCCCAACACUGGUUGGUAGGUCCAAGGAUGGCACUUUUAAAUAUGUUACGGAGUGUGCUAAGGGUAAAGUGUGUGGUUGGAAGGGGCAAGGAUUGCCCAAAGCAGCUAGAGAAGCUCUCGUCAAAUUUGUCCUGCAAGCGACACCGACCUAUACCAUGAGUUGGUUUCACCUCUCGAAGAAGAUGUGCCGGAACCUGACUUCAAUCUCAUCCAAAUUCUGGUGGGGUGCAAUGAAUGGUGAGAGAAAGGUCCAUUGGAUCGCUUGGGAGAAGAUGUGUGCGAGCAAGAGGGAUGGGGGUAUGGGGUUUCGUGACCCCGAGGCAUUCAACCAAGCUUUGUUGGCGAAACAAGCAUGGCGUAUUCUUCAAGUUCCAACUUCUCUAUGUGCUAGAGUGCUCAAAGCAAGGUAUUUUCAAGAUAAUUCAAUUUUGUCUGCUUCCUGCCCAGCCUCGGGCUCGUUCACUUUCAGGAGUAUCUUGCACGGCCGGGAUUUGCUAAGGGAGGGCCUCAUAUGGAGAGUUGGGGCGGGGCUCAACAUUAACAUUCACCACGACUCGUGGAUACCUCGGAAUGGGAGCACCAAACCCCUAGGCCAAGUAUACAUACAGGGUGUGACCAAGGUGGCUCACUUAAUCAACCCUGAUGGUGUGUCGUGGAAUGAGGAGUUGGUGGAUCAGAUGUUUACAGUGGCAGAUGCUACGGACGUGAAGCAAAUUGCGAUUGGCGGCCCGGGGGCUGAUGAUUAUCUUGCAUGGAAUUUUACGCGUAAUGGUGUAUUUACCGUUAGAUCAGCAUACCACCUACGAAUGGCCUUGAACAGAACGAGGUCCGGACAGCCGGAGUCCUCGAGUUCGGUAGCUAUGCACAAAGGAUAUUUGGAGCUGUGGGAUACAAGUGCGCCAGGCAAGGUCAAAAUUCAUAUGUGGCGCAUGAUCCGCAACGGGCUUGCUGUAGGGGCAGAACUCCACCGACGUCGGAUCAAGCCGGGCGUUUUUUUGUGUUGUGUGUGCCCGUGA